rnacentral:lncRNA from 1 species
AGAGGGGGAUGGUGGCUCUUCUGACAUCUCCAAGACCUCCAGGAAGUUCUGGGGGAGAGGGGGCUUUAGCUUCUUUUUUUUUUUCUUUUUUUUUUUUAAAGAUAGUCUCGCUCUGUCGCCCAGACUGGAGUGCAGUGGAGUGAUCUUGGCUCACUGCAACCUCCGCCUCUAGGGUUCAAGUGAUUCUCCUGCCUCAGCCUCUCAAGUAGCUGGGAUUACAGGCGCGUGCCACCACACCCGGCUAAUUUUAUAUUUUUAGUAAAGACAGGGUUUCACAAUGUCAGCCAGGCUGGUCUCGAACUCCUGACCUCAGGUGAUCCAUCCGCCAUGGCCUCCCAAAAUGCUGGGAUUACAGGGGUGAGCCACCACACCCAGCCACUUGGGCUGUUUCUUCCGUAAGGCUCUUCUGUAAGGGGUUUUACUCUGUACGAUUUUACUUUCCAGAUUGGCGAGAGACUGAGAAGGCAAGUUUGAGAUCCUGGAGAGAGAACCACUUUGAAGACGGUGAAUUCUGGAGGGAGCCUGGUCUGCAGAGGUGUGUGGCCUCGGUGGAUGGAACUGUUCCUACCUGUGCAUAGGAUUGACUGUUCUUCUUGCUCCUGGUUACUGGAGGCAGCCGCCUGCUGCUUCCCCCAUGGCAGACAUGUGGCUAGGGGUGCAAGUUGGAAGAGUGAGUGGGGCUGCCGCAGGCUUUGCCCAGGCUCCCCUGCACCUGCGGGAAGGCUUCUCCUUGGCGGGAAAAACAUGACACCCUGUUUCUCCACCAAGAUCCUGAUUUGACAUCCAUUGUUUGUUUCUAUGGAGAAAAUAAUUGGGAACAGAUGGCCUCUGAUGUCCUCUCCAGCAGUAUGGAUGGAGAUGUAAGUGUUUGAUUGCCUAUCCUCAAUGUAUUGCAGUGGGUAUGUGCUUGGACUCUGGAUUUCAAUGGUUGGGGUUCAAAUUCCAUCUUCUAGUUUCUUCUUGUGGCAUCUUGAGCAAUUUAACUUCUCUGUGCCUCAAUUUCU